ACGUAGGGGGCAAGCGUUAUCCGGAUUUACUGGGUGUAAAGGGAGCGUAGACGGUAAAGCAAGUCUGAAGUGAAAGCCCAGGGCUCAACCCCGGGACUGCUUUGGAAACUGUUUAACUAGAGUGCUGGAGAGGUAAGCGGAAUUCCUAGUGUAGCGGUGAAAUGCGUAGAUAUUAGGAGGAACACCAGUGGCGAAGGCGGCUUACUGGACAGUAACUGACGUUGAGGCUCGAAAGCGUGGGGAGCAAACAG
rnacentral:rRNA from 1 species